UACGGGGGGGGCAAGCGUUGUUCGGAAUUACUGGGCGUAAAGGGCGCGUAGGCGGCCAACUAAGUCGGAUGUGAAAUCCCCAGGCUCAACUUGGGAACUGCAUCCGAUACUGGAUGGCUUGAAUUCGGGAGAGGGAUGCAGAAUUCCAGGUGUAGCGGUGAAAUGCGUAGAUAUCUGGAGGAAUACCGGUGGCGAAGGCGGCAUCCUGGACCGACAUUGACGCUGAGGCGCGAAAGCUAGGGGAGCAAACGGG
rnacentral:rRNA from 1 species